UAUCUCAUUGCACCCUCAUAUGCCAUGUGCCAGUAUCAGUUAUUUUUAAGUCUUGGUUCCAAUUGUUUAUAUUUUUUUUAUAUUUUUCUUCUAAGAGACUGUGUUGCUACUCUUGGACAGUAUAUGCUGUAGCGUUGUGUGGAUACCAUGUGGUGUGGUAUUGCAUGUUGGUGGACUCUGCUGGAACUUUGAAGAGUGCUCCUGAGUACUCUGCCUAUGCGGACCUGUGCUGGGGAGAGUCAGUCCAUUCGAUUGUGCUUAGCCAGGGCUUGAAUGAGUCAGUUUAAUACCAGAGGCUGAUGUAAAGCUUCUAAUUUUAUUGCUUGGUAUGCCAUUAGUGCUUUGUAUGCCAUUUCUAGGGUGCACUCCCUUCAUUAUGCUGAUUGGCUGUAUGUGCUGUUUUGUCUUUAAUGUUCAUCACUUUGGGAUACUUGGUCAUGUAAUCAACAGGUAUGACUAACCCCUGAUCUUGAAGAUGUCUACAGCCACUUUCAGCCAAGGGAACUCUGGAAUAUCAUGUGAGAGUGGCGGCUCUUUCUGAUUCUUGGGCUGAUACUGUUGGCAUGUGGUGCACAUUUCAACCAUUUGUUCGAUGUCUCUUGUCAUUCCAGGCCAAUACAGGUGAUUCCUGGCAUGAGCUUUUGUGCGCUGCAUUCCUCGAUGAGCACCGUUAAGCUUCUGUAGCAUGACUGUUCUCCUUGUUUUGGGAAUGAUGAUUCUGUCUCCUGCAAGCAGAACUCUGUUUUGUUCUGCUGCUGUGUCUCUGAUUGACCAGUACUGAUACAGUCUUGGGUUGAGCUGAUUUCUCUGUUGUGGCCAACCUUUCCCGUGAACCUUGUAGCAGUUGUAAUGUCAUCUUUCUGUAUUGCCUCGUUGAGAUGUUUCAGCAUGUCUUCAUCAAGGGCGUCUGUUGCCUCCAGAGUGUAGAUGAUUUUCUCGUCUGUGACUUCAUCAGUCUCUGUGUGUUGACUCUCCACGACCGCUCGUGGCAGCGUAUCGGCGAGCAGCAUGUUUUUCCUAGGUGUGUAGGAUACGUUCAGGUCCUACCUCUGCAGCUGGAGGAGCUUCCUCUGGAGUCUGGAUGGUGCUAUUCCCAGUGGCUUCUUGAGUAUGGACUAUAGCGCCUUGUGAUUGGACUGUACGUUCACUUUCAUCCCAUACACAUACUGGUGGAACCUUUUGGUAGAAAACAUAAUGGUUAAUAGCUCCUAUUCUACUUGUGCAUUGACGCGUAGGCGAUCGGUCGUCCCUCUUGUAGUAGACAGUAGACACGCCCCUACUCAGUCUUUGGAUACGUUGGCCUGUAUGACGAGUUGUUUCUGUGGAUCAAAGAAUUUCAGUGUUGGAGCAGGGAUCAGAGCUGUUUUGAGCUUCUUCAGCACUUCCUGGAGCUCGUGCUGCCAUUGCCAGGCCAUGUCUUUGCGUAGCAGCUAUCGUAGUGAUGCUGUGAGUGAUGCUUCAUCAGGGAUGUACUGUCAAAUACUUUGUCAUGCCCAGCAGUCAUUGUAGUGCUGCUUUGUUAGCAGCUGGCUGCAUUUCAGCUAUUGCUCGCACCUUCCCUUCAUCUGCUUUCACGCCAUCUAGUGUAAUUACGUGGCCCAUGAACUUGACAGUGCUCACCUUGUACUUUAUCUUCUCCUUGUUGAAUGUCACGUUGACCUGCUCAUCUCUUUCCAUCACAUGUUGUAUCUUGUUAUGUUCUUGCUCUGUGGCUACAGCGAUGAUCAUGUCAUCUGCAAUGGUGUGAACAGCUUCGAUGUCUCUGAAUAUGUCACAGUUGUGUUGCUGGAACACUUAUUGGAUGAUUUGAUCCUGCAGAGUAGGCAUUUGACCCUGUAUGGUCCCCAUGGAGUGUUACAUGUACACAGCAGUGAGGACUCUUUGAUUAGCUUCACCUGCCAGUAGUCGUCCUUUUCAACCAAGAUGAUGAAUAUAUUUCCAAUCAGAUUACUCAGCAUGUCCUCUGUAGUUGGGAUGGAGUAGUGUUUCCGGAGAACAGCUUUGUUCAGGUCGUGGGGAUCCAAGCAAACUCGUAGUUUCCCAAUCUUCUCUGUGACUGCAUACCCUGCAGUGGGCUCUGUCACAUGGUCUAUCCUAUGACAUCAGCCUCCAGUGGCUGAUUCAGUGAUCUUUUUAGUCUGUCCAUGACUGCCCAUUGAAUAUUUCUGCAGCCAUGUAUGACAGGUGGGACGUCUGGGUUUACAUGGAUGUGAUGUUCUCCAGGAUUAGUUUGUCAGUUCAGUCAUUUGCCUUGAUGAGCCCUACCCAGCUAGCUAGUUCAUGCUUGUGGCUAGAAACUUCAGUGAGAAUUUGAAACUUGUCUGCCGAAGUCGGGACUUAUCGGACUACAAAAUUAACAGAUGUGCUUUAGCUGCCUGUCACCCUGGCCUGAUAUUAGCUACAGUAUCUAGUUACUUCCCUCUUAAGUUACUGCAGGACAGCAGUGCUCAGCAGGUGGGAAUCAGGAGCGAAGGACACACUGUGCCCCGUGUUGUUGUGUUGCCGGCUUGCAGGGCAAACGCUCCCCUUUGAGCAGCAGUACUGUGACAUCCAGAUUCUAGAUGGUGAUCCAAUACUGCAAGUUAUUUCUCCCUCGCCCAUCGAAAUAAAGACUUUCUUUUACAAGUUUUAAAUCGCACCAUGCUAUUGUUGCUGGCUAGCUAAGAAGGGUUCAUCAGGACAAUUUACUGAACCAAAUCCAUUCGACAUAAGUCAUCAAUUUGGGCACCAGGCAUGUCCAUAUAGCCUCUCCCCUUUAGCUUGGCAGCUGUUUUUAUGUUAACUCCGUUGUUUGUGCUCGACAAAAUUCUGAAACCGGACCAUGUUGUGGAUUCGUAUGACUGGAGGACUCAUUGACUAGCUGGCUACAACAACCUGGAGGUGGCAGAGUAUCUCCAGAAGCAAAGGGCUAACAUUAACGCACAGGACAAGGGAGGCCUCAUCCGUUUGCAUAAUGCUGCCUAAUACAGGGUCCGUCAACUCAAAGAUUACAUCAGGCUUUUGAAGACGUUUUACAUGCUUUUGUCAAGUCAACCAGCAGUUUUGCCUCAGCUCCUGCUUUUCCCAGUUUCUCCGACCCUUGCCUGUCCUGACUCGGAGCCCGCCUGCCUGACCACUCUGCCUGCCGACCUGCACCAUUGCCCCACCUCUGGAUUAUUGACCUCUGCCUACCCUGAGCCUGCCUGCCGUCCGGUACCCACCUCUGGUUUACUGAGCCCUGCCUGUCUAGUGCCUGCCCCUGUUGGAUUAUUAAACCAUUGUUAAUUCGUCAUUGUCUGCAUCUGCGUCUUACCUUCAUACCUGAUACAGAAUACCUACAGUGUGACCUUGUGGCCUAGGAUAUUUAACAGCUUAGGUGUCAUCAGGCUUUAGAAGACAUUGUGUGAUUGUUGUGUUUACAAAACCGUACAGCACAUACAAUGGAAAAACACCCACAAUGUGACCUUGUGGAAAGCCUAGCUAUGUAACCGCUUGGAUGUCAUACAUUUUGGGCAAGUCAUUAGGUUAAAUCAUAUCCUCUCCCCCUCCUUUCCUCGCUGUCACUUGAGGGAAAAAUUGUAUUCACCUUAUUUGUUGGAUAUGUAACAAUUAUUUACUUAACAGUAAGAUAUUUCUGUCCUGCUAAUGUUGUGUUGUAUGGUCUUCCCUCCACUCUAGCACCCUGCAGCUAGUCUGGGUGUUGAGGACAUGGGUUCUACUAGAGAUGGCUUGAAGCUGACAAUUGAUCUUUGUGAUUAAAAACCUAAAAGCCGGCAUUCUAUAGACAAGAUGUGGUGCGUGACUCGAGAGAGCCUGGAAGAGUUGAGAACAAUGCCUCAUCUUCCUGGCAUCUAUUAAACUAAGUAAAAUACCAUCCUGUGUAGAUAACCAAGGUGGCUUAUGGGAAGGUUAAAUGACUAAGCAAUCUUGGUAUCAGCUAUAUAAAAACUGUGCUACGUCUGUAAAGGCUAGACUCUGUCAAGACUGGUGGGCUGACGGUCUCAUCAUUGCAAUAAUUAAUCGAUAUUAAAUAAAGAUGAUUGAAGAAAUGGCCAAGUCUCUCCUGUCCUCUCUUCUACAGCACGUGGACAUUGCGGCCCUCCUGAUCAAGUUCAACAACUGGGCCUUCACCCCUCUCCACGAGGUGGCUCAGAAGGGCUGUAAUCUGCUGUGUGCUCUACUGCUGGCCCACAGAACUGACCCUAUCAUGAAGAAGCAGGAGAGACAGACCACCUGAUCUGGCCACGAUACCCAUCCUUUCUCUGCUAGUGCUAACAGUAGAUAACAUGAUUGUUACGUACACCUCUUCCUAGAGGGAACGCAACACCCUGCUACAACUCAACUCCCCGUGGAGUGAAAGGGGUAUGGGACUGUAGGUUUGAGUAGGAAUGACAAAGGCUGAGAAUGGUACCGUUUACAAGGAAUUUAUUCUGUCACAUGGUAAUUUUUGGGAAAAGGGGCUGGAUGGAACCAAAGCGAAGAAAGUAAAUAUCAAAUCCCCCUCUCCUACCUUACCUGCCUACCCACUACUUAACUUAGCACCACCUGGUGCGCUAACCAAAAUACAAGGGGUGGUCCGCCCAGGUCUUACCUAGUGGGCAAAGACAGUGAAUACUACGGGUUAUGUAUGCCAGCAGGCCUCUUUCCUAAGCACUCCCUAGGUGCCUUCCCCUUCCCCUUCCCCCCUGGGAACAAAUGAAACAGAAUAAUGCAAACUACUUCACAACAAAAACUGAGAAAAAACUCAAGACAUUAAAGAAACCCUCUCUCUCUCUGAGCAACAAACUAACACAUAACAAUCAGCUCUCUCAGCAACAACUAACAUAGUACAUACUAAAUCUCUUUCUGAGAAACAACCAACAUAUGAUAUAACCCUCAGCUCUCUUCUGAGCAGCAGAACACUGGCUUAUAUAGCUGGAGAAGGAGUCUAAUGGUAUACACCUGUAUCCUGACGAGGGGGCGGGGUCAGCUCUCCAAUCAUCAUUGGGGCCGACCAAUCAGCUGCUUUUGGGAAUUUCAUGAAGCCAUCCUGCAACACACACAUACAAAACCACAACACAGAAACUGGGGAACGUAACAAAGAUGUUAAAUGAAAAGUGUUACUAUCAGUAUCAUAUGUUGAUUUUCAACAUAAACAAGAGCUGUCAUUAGUUUUUUGUUCAAAAUGGUAGAUAUAGUGAAUGUAUGCAUGUGUUAUAUUUUUCUAGUUACACAACUGUCUGACAAGGACGUAGUCUGUUCAUAAUAAUUCCCAUCAAAUAUAUUUUGACACACAUGGCUGGGGAAACCCCUUAUCACCCAGUAACUCUCCCUCUUACCGCAUCCUCCUCCUUCCUCAGGCUGAUGAUAUCCGUACCCUGUUGAUGUACACAAUGCCCUCAGACGCAGAGAAGAGAGAUCACCAGUUCAUCAAACUCUCCAUUCUCGGGACAACAUACAUUGCUCGAUCAGUACAUACAUUGCUCGAUUGGUACUUGAUUGGCCCAUUUGCCACCUAGCCAAACAGACUGAUAUUUUAAUGCAGAAAUCCAUGACCUAUUGUAUUUGAACAUUUUGUGUGUAUUUCUUAGAAGCUCGCAAGCUAGUGGCGGGCUGUUCUGAGGUUCAAGCAGUUUAAUUGUUUUUAAUAUCUGCUUAUAAUCAGUUAUCAGUUAAUACGCAUGAAAAGAUUAGCUGUGGAAUUUUCCACUCCAUUAGGAUAUUAUUGUCUUGUAACUCAUGUAAAGUGGAGUGCCUCCUCCACCAGGCCUUUAGGGUUGCAAUGUUAAAUGUAAAACUCUCUUCUCUUAUAAGCUGAGGUGAACCAAUGGACAGUAGACCAGCAGCAGUCAGUAUGUAACCUGACGCAACUGGAGGUCAUGAUGGUAUUUGUUUAGAACAAUAAAGAAUACAAGUAGUUGGCCACUACAAUGCAGAAAACUAUAUAUUUACAGUGGCUCCAGUUCCAAACACAGUAGUUAAGUGCUACUGGAGGUCUUUAUGGUGUUGAAGAACUCUUGGAAGUGAUCCAGGCUGAGCUUGUGGGUGAGCUUGUUGUUCAGUAGGUGGGGGAGUUGGGCUGUACCAGGCUGUGGUUUGAGCUUGACGAGGCCCUCCCAGCAAGGACACGUAGUCUUAUGCCUCAAACAGGAAGGAGUAGAGUACACAGUAUUCAUCAUGGAAAUGACUUGGGUGCCAUAUAUACGGAACUGUGUGGAGUCUUGUGCAACUGUGUUGACUGCACAGAGCUACAGAAGAAAACAAGGGAGGAGAACUAUUAAUUGCCUUAUCGCUUUACAACUUAGGCCCAUAACCUAUAGUUAAUUAAAUUGGUUUUGAGUACCACCUUGGCUCAUAUAUCCAGCAGGGCCCUUUCUGAAAUGAGAUGGGAUAAAACUAUUAGUUGUUUUAGCGGUGUAAUGGCUCAAACUGUAUUGUCCCCAGAUGUUCAUUUUGUUACAUGUAGGGCUAAAAUAAUACAGAAUAAUUGAGUUGUUUAUUGCACCGCUCUCUGCUUGACACACUGCAAAGUGGGUCAACUAUUGUAUUCAUCUCCUUUGAUUUGAUAUAUGAAAAUGUCUCCAUGUUUUUAUUUGUUUAGUUUUGUCAGGUGUACCUCAGUUGGUUGAACAUGUUGCUAGCAAUGCCAGAGUUGUGGGUUUGAGUCCGGCCUGGACAGUAUAACAGAUUUAGCUGGGCUUCUCCUCAAUUACUCUGCAGCGCCGGUCGAGGGCUUCCAGGUGUAAGAUUAACAAAACACGGCUAUUGUGAACAAUGUGCUGGCCAUAUUUGUUCGAGCUUUGGGUGGGCACUGGAUUAGGCAUCCUCACAUAAAACAAAAGACGAUAGCCCUGGCCUAUUCCUGCGUGACAGAGUUCAUCACACCCCGUUGGGAAAGAGUUUUUUAGAUGCCAUACACUAUUGUCUUUAACAGUUGUUAUAGAGGCAGCACAUAAUAGGCCAGGGCUUUAUGUAAGGAAUGAAUAUGAUUGAACCCAUUCUUACUCUGAUGCAGCACUUAUUGCAUGUUUUGAAUAGCAGGACAGAAAUCAAGUACCUCAUGCUGUACUCAUGUUGAAAAGACAGGUCAAAGAGAUCUCCUGGCAGGGGUUAGAAAGGAUGGCCCCCCUACAGGUACAGCAAACGCUAUGUUGGUUUGACUUCCCUGCAGUGAACAAUGCUGCCCCCCAGUCCAGGUAAUGCCAAUGGCUUGUAUGUGACAGUUAUUUCAGUGGCUCUGACAAUACAUUAUAUUGAGCAUCUUAUAGAAUCCUUGAGUUGGUAUUAUACUACUAUUAUAUUAUACUACUUAUAUGAAUAUUUUUUAUCAAAUGCUGUCUAUCCCUUAGAAUCUACUAACAUGUUAUACAAGGCAACUUUACUGAUUAAUUGAUUGAUUAAUUGGGACAAGGCUCAAAUUUAAAAAGACAUGUCAUAUACUGCAUAACUUUUAUCUGCUUUAGAUUGGCAUAUGUUGACUUUGGAGGAAGGUGGUUGGAUGGAUUCAGAUGCUAAAC